rnacentral:rRNA from 1 species
GACGAACGCUGGCGGCGUGCUUAACACAUGCAAGUCGAACGGAAAGGCCCUGCUUUUGUGGGGUGCUCGAGUGGCGAACGGGUGAGUAACACGUGAGUAACCUGCCCUUGACUUUGGGAUAACUUCAGGAAACUGGGGCUAAUACCGGAUAGGAGCUCCUGCUGCAUGGUGGGGGUUGGAAAGUUUCGGCGGUUGGGGAUGGACUCGCGGCUUAUCAGCGUGUUGGUGGGGUAGUGGCUUACAAAGGCUUUGACGGGUAGCCGGCCUGAGAGGGUGACCGGCCACAUUGGGACUGAGAUACGGCCCAGACUCCUACGGGAGGCAGCAGUGGGGAAUAUUGCACAAUGGGCGGAAGCCUGAUGCAGCAACGCCGCGUGCGGGAUGACGGCCUUCGGGUUGUAAACCGCUUUCGCCUGUGACGAAGCGUGAGUGACGGUAAUGGGUAAAGAAGCACCGGCUAACUACGUG